GAUGAACGCUGGCGGCGUGCCUAAUACAUGCAAGUCGAGCGAAUGGAUUAAGAGCUUGCUCUUAUGAAGUUAGCGGCGGACGGGUGAGUAACACGUGGGUAACCUGCCCAUAAGACUGGGAUAACUCCGGGAAACCGGGGCUAAUACCGGAUAACAUUUUGAACCGCAUGGUUCGAAAUUGAAAGGCGGCUUCUGCUGUCACUUCUGGAUUGACCCGCGUCGCAUUAGCUAGUUGGUGAGGUAACGGCUCACCAAGGCAACGAUGCGUAGCCGACCUGAGAGGGUGAUCGGCCACACUGGGACUGAGACACGGCCCAGACUCCUACGGGAGGCAGCAGUAGGGAAUCUUCCGCAAUGGACGAAAGUCUGACGGAGUAACGCCGCGUGAGUGAUGAAGGCUUUCGGGUCGUAAAACUCUGUUGUUAGGGAAGAACAAGUGCUAGUUGAAUAAGCUGGCACCUUGACGGUACCUAACCAGAAAGCCACGGCUAACUACGUGCCAGCCGCCGCCGUAA
rnacentral:rRNA from 1 species